rnacentral:lncRNA from 10 species
AAAAUGGGCUAACAGUCUGAGGUGCCUGACGUCCAGGCAUUCUUUUACACUUUGGUCCCUCCCUAGUCUCUGCUCACAGUGCAACUUGUCCCAAAUCUUCCUUCUUUCCCUCCCGCCUGUCCCCUCAGUCCCAACCCCAAGCGUCGCUGAGACUUUCCUCUUUCCAAUCUUCCUUUUCUACAGACCCAUCUGACCUCUCCCCUCCUCCCCAGGCUGCUCCUCGCCAGGCCGAGCUAGGUCCCAAUUCUUCCUCAGCCUCCACUCCCCAACCUAUAAUCCUUUUAUCACCUCCCCUACUCACACCCGGUCCGGCUUACAGUUUCCUUCCACAACUAGCCCUCCCCCACCUGCCCAGCAAUUUCCUCUUAAAAAGGUGGCUGGAGCUAAAGGCAUAGUCAAGGUUAAUGCUCCUUUUUCUUUAUCCCAAAUCAUAUAGCGUUUAGGCUCUUUUUCAUCAAAUAAAAAACCCAGCCCAGUUCAUGGCUCAUUUGGCAGCAACCCUGAGACGCUUUACAGCCCUAGACCCUAAAAGGUCAAAAGGCCGUCUUAUUCUCAAUAUACAUUUUAUUACCCAAUCCGCUCCGGACAUUAAAUAAAACUCCAAAAAUUAAAUUCCAGCCCUCAAACCCCACAACAAGACUUAAUUAACCUCACCUUCAAGGUGUACAAUUAAUAAAGUAGAGGCAGCCAAGUAGCAAUGUAUUUCUGAGUUGCAAUUCCUUGCCUCCACCGUGAGACAAACCCCAGCCAUAUCUCCAGCACACAAGAACUCCAAACGCCUGAACCACAGCUGCCGGGGUUCCUCCAGAACCUCCUCCCCCAGGAGCUUGCUACAAGUGCCGGAAAUCUGGCCACUGGGCCAAGGAAUGCCCACAGACCAGGAUUCCUUCUAAGCCGUGUCCCAUCUGUGCAGGACCCCACUGAAAAUCGGACUGUUCAACUGACCUGGCAGCCACUUUCAGAGCCCCUGGAACUCUGGCCCAAGGCUGUCUGACUGACUCCUUCCCAGAUCUUCUCGGCUUAGCAGCUGAAGACCGACACUACUCGAUUGCCUCGGAAGCCUACAAGACCAACACAAAUGCUCUGGGUAACUCACAGUGGAGGCCUGAGCUUUUGGUGUGAUAACAAGAAAUUAUUGCCACGGCCAGUAUCAAGGAGCUUUCCCCUGUGUUUCCUUCUGUGAGUUCUACAGUUGUAAGUCUGACGUUUAGGUCUUCAAUUCAUUUUGAGUCAAUUUUUGUGUAUGGUGUAAAAUAAGGGUCCAGUUUCAUUCUUUUGCAUAUGAAAAUCUAAUUUUCCCAGUACCAUUUAUUGAAGAGAUCAUCCUCUCCUCAUUGUGUCUUCAUGUUGACCUUGCUAAAAAUUAGUUAACUAUAUGUGUUUAGGUUUAUUUCUGGGCUCUCUAUUUUGUUCCAGUAGCCUAUAUGUCUGUUUUUAUGUCAGUACCAUGCUGUUGUGAUUACUAUAGAUUUGUAAUAGAAUUUUAAAUAUGGAAGCGUGAUGCCUCUAAUUCCUUUUAUUUCAGAAUUGCUCUGGCUAUUUGGGGUAUUUUGUGGUUCCACAUGAAUUUUUGGAUUGUUUGUUUUAUUUCUGUGAAGAAUGCCACUGGGAUUUUGAUAGGAUUUGGUUUCAAUCUAUAUACUGCUUUGGGUAGCAU